rnacentral:rRNA from 1 species
AUUGAACGCUGGCGGCAGGCCUAACACAUGCAAGUCGAGCGGAUGAGAGGAGCUUGCUCUUCGAUUCAGCGGCGGACGGGUGAGUAAUGCCUAGGCAUCUGCCUAGUAGUGGGGGACAACGUUUCGAAAGGAACGCUAAUACCGCAUACGUCCUACGAGAGCAAGUGGGGGAUCUUUGGAGCUCACGCUAUUAGUUGAGCCUAGGUCGGAUUAGCUAGUUGGUAGGGUAAAGGACUACCAAGGAGACGAUCCGUAACUGGUCUGAGAGGAUGAUCAGUCACAAUGGAACUGAGACACGGUCCAGACUCCUACGGGAGGAAGAAGUGGGGAAUAUUGGACAAGGGGCGAAAGCCUGAUCCAGCCAUGACGCGUGUGUGAAGAAGGCCUUCGGGUCGUAAAGCACUUUAAGUUGGGAGGAAGGGCUCAUAGCGAAUACCUGUGAGUUUUGACGUUACCAACAGAAUAAGCACCGGCUAACUUCGUGCCAGCCGCCGCCGUAA